GCGAGUGUGGCGGAAUAGGUAGACGCGUUGGACUUAAAAUCCAAUUCCAGUUUUGGAGUGCCGGUUCAAUUCCGGCCAUUCGCACCA
rnacentral:tRNA from 2 species